GCAGAGACCCUUGUCCAGGAGAGAGGUUUGAGAACUUUGGCUCCAGGAUCUCUUUGUGGGAAUGUAAAAGGUAGUCUUUGGGGACUUCCCUGGUGGUCCAGUGGUUAAGACUGUGCGGUCCCAAUGCAGGGGGCCUGGUUCAAUCCCUGGUCAGCGAACUAGAUCCCGCAUGCAGGCCGCAACUAAAGGAGGCACAUGCCACAACUAAGACCCAGCACAGCUAAAUAAAUA